AACGAACGCUGGCGGCAUGCCUAACACAUGCAAGUCGAACGAGAUCUUCGGGUCUAGUGGCGCACGGGUGCGUAACGCGUGGGAAUCUGCCCCUUGGUUCGGAAUAACAGUUGGAAACGACUGCUAAUACCGGAUGAUGACGAAAGUCCAAAGAUUUAUCGCCAGAGGAUGAGCCCGCGUAGGAUUAGCUAGUUGGUGUGGUAAAGGCGCACCAAGGCGACGAUCCUUAGCUGGUCUGAGAGGAUGAUCAGCCACACCGGGACUGAGACACGGCCCAGACUCCUACGGGAGGCAGCAGUGGGGAAUAUUGGACAAUGGGCGAAAGCCUGAUCCAGCAAUGCCGCGUGAGUGAUGAAGGCCUUAGGGUUGUAAAGCUCUUUUACCCGGGAUGAUAAUGACAGUACCGGGAGAAUAAGCUCCGGCUAACUCCGUGCCAGCCGCCGCCGUAACAC
rnacentral:rRNA from 1 species